rnacentral:tRNA from 1 species
AUUCUUGUAGUUGAAUAUAACGGUAGUUUUUCAAAUUGAUAGUCUUGGUUAAAGUCCGGGCAAGAAUU